GACGAACGCUGGCGGCGUGCUUAACACAUGCAAGUCGAACGGAAAGGCCCUGCUUUUGUGGGGUGCUCGAGUGGCGAACGGGUGAGUAACACGUGAGUAACCUGCCCUUGACUUUGGGAUAACUUCAGGAAACUGGGGCUAAUACCGGAUAGGAGCUCCUGCUGCAUGGUGGGGGUUGGAAAGUUUCGGCGGUUGGGGAUGGACUCGCGGCUUAUCAGCUUGUUGGUGGGGUAGUGGCUUACCAAGGCUUUGACGGGUAGCCGGCCUGAGGGGGUGACCGGCCACAUUGGGACUGAGAUACGGCCCAGACUCCUACGGGAGGCAGCAGUGGGGAAUAUUGCACAAUGGGCGGAAGCCUGAUGCAGCAACGCCGCGUGUGGGAUGACGGCCUUCGGGUUGUAAACCGCUUUCGCCUGUGACGAAGCGUGAGUGACGGUAAUGGGUAAAGAAGCACCGGCUAACUACGUG
rnacentral:rRNA from 1 species